GUGUUAUAUGAAAGGAGAGAAGAUUGGUGCUCCACUUGACAACAACAGAAGAGGCCCUUAGGCCUUACAACACACAUAGGGUUAAGGCAUUGCCACCUACUUUGUGCCAUCUAACCACAGUUUUUU